UCUACGGGAGGCAGCAGUGAGGAAUAUUGGUCAAUGGGCGUAAGCCUGAACCAGCCAAGUCGCGUGAGGGAUGAAGGUUCUAUGGAUCGUAAACCUCUUUUAUAAGGGAGUAAAGUGUGGGACGUGUCCUAUUUUGUAUGUCCCUUAUGAAUAAGGAUCGGCUAACUCCGUGCCAGCAGCCGCGGUAAUACGGAGGAUCCGAGCGUUAUCCGGAUUUAUUGGGUUUAACGGGUGCGUAGGCGGCCUUUUAAGUCAGCGGUGAAAGUCUGUGGCUCAACCAUGGAAUUGCGGUGGAAACUGGGGGGCUUGAGUAUGUUUGAGGCAGGCGGAAUGCGUGGUGUAGCGGUGAAAUGCGUAGAUAUCACGCAGAACCCCGGUUGCGAAGGCAGCCUGCCAAGCCAUGACUGACGCUGAUGCACGAAAGCGUGGGGAUCAAACAGGAUUAGAUACCCCUGUAGUC
rnacentral:rRNA from 1 species